GUGAUUGUGUGUCGUGUGCAAAAGUGAGUUGUUGAUAUCUGUAAAAAUGAGUGUAUUUGUUUAAAUUAUUUAUAUUAUUAAUUAUGUUGAACAAUGAAUUAUAUAACAAUCGAUUCAUAAAAUCUUCCUCUUCAAAUUGAUAUACACCAUGUUGGGUUUUUUUUUCGAAUUGAAUUGAGCCAUUCGAUGGGUACGGAAGGUCAUUCAAGUGACUUUCCGGAGGCAAAGCCGGAUAUUUAACCAAAUCGAAUACCUGACAUAUCGUUCCAACAUAUUGACAGGUGGAUAAAGCUGGUGAAUUCAAAACUGAUGAUAGUUCUGUACAACAAAAGAUCCAUAAUUAAAGAUAAUACUACAAGUUUCGAAGAAGCAACACAUCAUGAAGCCGUACAACUAUUUAAAGCGAAUACAAAAAUCAGUUUGGUAAGAGAUAUUGUCGAAUUACCACAUUCAUGCACAACAAGUCAUCCAGUUAUUAUAUUAAUUAGUUAUUGUAUUAAGCUCAAGAUAUUAAUAAUUCAUAAAUCUAGCAGGCUAAUCAACUAAUACUAAUGAUUGAAAAAAAAGCUCGUAAUUCAAAACAAAAUAUUAGUCUCAAACACUGUCUACUUAAAUAUUAUUAUUGUUAUAAUCAAGAUGCUAAUUAAUAUUUAUUUAAAACUAAUUUUUGAAUUACGAUAACUUGUACAUUUAUAUACGUUUGUAAAUUUAGUUAGUCUAACAUUUUCUCACAUACUACACUCAUACGUUUUUUUACAAUUUAAACCCUCACUUUAAAACUAUCUUUUUUUAAUAUUAUCAUUAUUACUAUUAUUAUUAAAAAAAAAGAAAAUGAUAAUAGAACAUAAAAGUUAUUUUAGCAUCAUUACAAAAGAAAAUUCUACCUCAAAGUAGGACAUUAUUCAGGACAAUUUGUGACGUUCAACAUAAUACUAAAGAACAGAUAUAAAAAUUGGCUAUAAAGUAGACGUAGAAAAGACGUAUAUAAAAAGCAAAAGCUAAUUCUAAAUGAAAAGCUAAUUUACAUGAAAAGUGUCUAAAUUAUAAUUUUCAUGUUUACAUUAUUAUAAUAUAUUAAUCCUAUUUAUAAUCAUUAAAUAAAUUGUUAUAUACUAUAAUUUUUUUUUCCAAGCUAAAACUAUUUUGUAAUAUUAUGUAUACUAUCUCAAUUAAAUGCCUAAUUUGUUGAUCAAUCAUUACACGCCAAGUGUUGUACAAUAUUAAUCUAAUACAUGAGAAAAAAAAAAAAAAAAUUGUUUGCCAAAUGUAAUGCGAAUUACAAAAUUUAUCAAAUAUAAAUAGAAAAUAUUUUUUGAAUUAUUAAAUUUAUCAUACAAAAUAUGAAAGAGAACAUUUAAUUUUUUUUUUCAUAUUUAAUGGUCAAGGUAGUAUAGCAUUUGAAGGUCAUCAUGGUAAUAAUUAUAUCUGACAGUGGUCCGCUUGUUUUUGGCACGUUAUAAUUUAUGUUCAACUGCGUGAUUUGAAAUCAUCGUACAAUGCUCAUUACAUCGUACCAGGGUUUGGCUGAAUGCCCGCUAUAAUAAAAAAAAAAAAAACAAAAAAUUAUAAAAAAA